rnacentral:rRNA from 1 species
UACGGAGGAUGCAAGCGUUAUCCGGAAUGAUUGGGCGUAAAGCGUCCGCAGGUGGCUGUGUAAGUCUGCUGUCAAAGAGCAAAGCUCAACUUUGUAAAGGCAGUGGAAACUACACGGCUAGAGUGCGUUCGGGGCAGAGGGAAUUCCUGGUGUAGCGGUGGAAUGCGCAGAUAUCAGGAGGAACAUCCGUGGCGAAGGCGGCUCUCUGGGACGGUACUGACGCUGAGACGCGAAAGCGUGGGGAGCGAACAGG